AUGUGGGGCUCUUUCCAUGAGUUCCGCGUCGCAGCUAACGCAUUAAGUGCCCCGCCUGGGGAGUACGGCCGCAAGGCUAAAACUCAAAGGAAUUGACGGGGGCCCGCACAAGCGGCGGAGCAUGCGGAUUAAUUCGAUGCAACGCGAAGAACCUUACCAAGGCUUGACAUAUACGGUCUAUCCCUAGAGAUAGGGAGUGCUUCGGCGCCGUAUACAGGUGGUGCAUGGUUGUCGUCAGCUCGUGUCGUGAGAUGUUGGGUUAAGUCCCGCAACGAGCGCAACCCUCGUUCUAUGUUGCCAGCGCGUAAUGGCGGGGACUCAUAGGAGACUGCCGGGGUCAACUCGGAGGAAGGUGGGGAUGACGUCAAAUCAUCAUGCCCCUUAUGUCUUGGGCUUCACGCAUGCUACAAUGGCCGGUACAAAGGGCUGCGAUACCGCAAGGUGGAGCGAAUCCCAAAAAGCCGGUCUCAGUUCGGAUUGAGGUCUGCAACUCGACCUCAUGAAGUCGGAGUCGCUAGUAAUCGCAGAUCAGCAACGCUGCGGUGAAUACGUUCCCGGGCCUUGUACACACCGCC
rnacentral:rRNA from 1 species